rnacentral:rRNA from 1 species
AUUGAACGCUGGCGGCAGGCCUAACACAUGCAAGUCGAGCGGAUGAAGGGAGCUUGCUCCUGGAUUCAGCGGCGGACGGGUGAGUAAUGCCUAGGAAUCUGCCUGGUAGUUGGGGAUAACGUCCGGAAACGGGCGCUAAUACCGCAUACGUCCUGAGGUAGAAAGUGGGGGAUCUUCGGACCUCACGCUAUCAGAUGAGCCUAGGUCGGAUUAGCUAGUUGGUGGGGUAAAGGCCUACCAAGGCGACGAUCCGUAACUGGUCUGAGAGGAUGAUCAGUUACACUGGAACUGAGACACGGUCCAGACUCCUACGGGAGGCAGCAGUGGGGAAUAUUGGACAAUGGGCGAAAGCCUGAUCCAGCCAUGCCGCGUGUGUGAAGAAGGUCUUCGGAUUGUAAAGCACUUUAAGUUGGGAGGAAGGGCAGUAAGUUAAUACCUUGCUGUUUUGACGUUACCAACAGAAUAAGCACCGGCUAACUUCGUG